CCAGGAUCCACCAGAAGUGCCAGUCAGCCAGGAUCCGCCAGUCUGCCAGGAUCCGCCAGAUCUGCCAGUCGGCCAGGAUCCGCCAGUCUGCCAGGAUCCGCCAGUCUGCCAGGAUCCGCCAGUCUGCCAGGAUCCGCCAGUCUGCCAGGAUCCACCAGAAGUGCCAGUCAGCCAGGAUCCGCCAGUCUGCCAGGAUCCGCCAGUCUGCCAGGAUCCGCCAGUCAGCCAGGAUCCGCCAGAACUGCCAGUCUGCCAGGAUCCGCCAGUCUGCCAGGAUCCGCCAGUCUGCCAGGAUCCGCCAGUCUGCCAGGAUC
ensembl:lncRNA